CUUUCUUCCGAAACUCUCCCGAGCCGUUCCGGCAAGUGGUUCUGUGACUCGGGAGCUGACAACAGCCGCAUGCAAAGGAACAAAGAAUGAGAGUGACAAUUCAGAGUGCACGCAGGACUUCUACAGAUGUGAAGCAGUCUGCAGAAGCAGCAGAUCUCCAGGUGAACUGGCCAGUGUCUCCAUAUUUCCUCAAAUGACUAUUUUUACUUUAUUUUUUUGUUGGAUCAGGCUUUUAAUCUUUAUGAUACCUCUAUAAAAGAGUCGUCAAGAAAACAUAUAAGUAUUUCUACACAAAAUUUAAAAAAAAAUCAGGUUAUUUCCAAUUAGUUAAUUUCCAAUUAGUUAAUUUAAUAAAAAUUAAUUUUGGAAGUCGAGAAUUAGAGUUGUCAUUAAAAUAAAACCCUAGUUUGCCCAGCUCCAUAGUAAAUAACUCACAUUUUGUCUGGAACAGUUUGCAGAUGUAAAUCCAUUGAAGGGAAAUCAUUUCUGUUAGUUGACUACCUGGAUAAGCUUUAAGCAAAGUGCCAGCUAUCUGUGUAUAUAGGGAAUCACCACGAUCCAAACAAA